rnacentral:lncRNA from 1 species
AUGUUGAGCUCCGAGAAAUUUUGCCUUACAGCACCGCCAUAAUUCUGACUAUCCACCGUCUUCAUAAGCGACUUAGUCCCCAAACUCACAGCCGGUUCAGGCACUCUGCUUCUGGAAGGUGGCAGAGGGGUUGAAUCCCCCACUUCAGGUCUUCUAGACUGCGAGUUAACAGCCUGUUCUACCCGUGCAUCAGCAGGCUGAUGAGUUGAAUCCCCUAUUCCAGGUCUUCUAGACUGCAAGUUAACAACUUGUUCUAGGUGUGCAUCAUCAGCAGGCUGAGG